UACGUAGGGAGCAAGCGUUGUCCGGAAUCAUUGGGCGUAAAGCGCGCGUAGGUGGCUUCGUAAGUCCGUUGUGAAAGUCAAAGGCUCAACCUUUGAAAGCCGAUGGAUACUGUGGAGCUAGAGUACGGAAGAGGCGAGUGGAAUUCCUGGUGUAGCGGUGGAAUGCGCAGAUAUCAGGAGGAACACCAAUAGCGAAGGCAGCUCGCUGGGACGUUACUGACACUGAGGCGCGAAAGCAUGGGGAGCGAACAGG
rnacentral:rRNA from 1 species